GGCUCGUAGGCGGUCUUGCAAGUUGGAUGUGAAAACCGAAGGCUCAACCUUCGGCCUGCAUCCAAAACUGCAAGUCUAGAGUACUGGAGAGGAUGGCGGAAUUCCUGGUGUAGCGGUGAAAUGCGUAGAUAUCAGGAGGAACACCGGUGGCGAAGGCGGCCAUCUGGACAGAUACUGACGCUGAGGAGCGAAGGCUAGGAUAGCAAACA
rnacentral:rRNA from 1 species